CCUACGGGUGGCAGCAGUGAGGAAUAUUGGUCAAUGGGCGCGAGCCUGAACCAGCCAAGUCGCGUGAGGGAAGACGGUCCUAUGGAUUGUAAACCUCUUUUGUCGGGGAGCAAAAGACGCACCGCGUGGCGUUUCGAGAGUACCCGAAGAAAAAGCAUCGGCUAACUCCGUGCCAGCAGCCGCGGUAAUACGGAGGAUGCGAGCGUUAUCCGGAUUUAUUGGGUUUAAAGGGUGCGCAGGCGGAAGAUCAAGUCAGCGGUAACAUUGAGAGGCUCAACCUCUUCGAGCCGUUGAAACUGGUUUUCUAGAGUGAGCGAGAAGUAUGCGGAAGGCGUGGUGUAGCGGUGAAAUGCAUAGAUAUCACGCAGAACUCCGAUUGCGAAGGCAGCAUACCGGCGCACAACUGACGCUCAGGCACGAAAGUGUGGGUAUCGAACAGGAUUAGAUACCCUGGUAGUC
rnacentral:rRNA from 1 species